rnacentral:rRNA from 1 species
CCUACGGGUUGCAGCAGUGGGGAAUAUUGCACAAUGGGCGCAAGCCUGAUGCACCCAUGCCGCGUGUGUGAAGAAGGCCUUCGGGUUGUAAAGCACUUUCAGCGGGGAGGAAGGCGGUGAGGUUAAUACUCUCACCGAUUGACGUUACCCGCAGAAGAAGCACCGGCUAACUCCGUGCCAGCAGCCGCGGUAAUACGGAGGGUGCAAGCGUUAAUCGGAAUGACUGGGCGUAAAGCGCACGCAGGCGGUUUGUUAAGUCAGAUGUGAAAUCCCCGAGCUUAACUUGGGAACUGCAUUUGAAACUGGCAAGCUAGAGUCUUGUAGAGGGGGGUAGAAUUCCAGGUGUAGCGGUGAAAUGCGUAGAGAUCUGGAGGAAUACCGGUGGCGAAGGCGGCCCCCUGGACAAAGACUGACGCUCAGGUGCGAAAGCGUGGGGAGCAGACAGGAUUAGAUACCCCGGUAGUC